rnacentral:rRNA from 1 species
UUCGUCCUACGGGGCGCAGCAGUGGGGAAUAUUGCACAAUGGAGGGAACUCUGAUGCAGCGACGCCGCGUGAGUGAAGAAGUAAUUCGUUAUGUAAAGCUCUAUCAGCAGGGAAGAAAGUGACGGUACCUGAAAAAGAAGCUCCGGCUAAAUACGUGCCAGCAGCCGCGGUAAUACGUAUGGAGCAAGCGUUAUCCGGAUUUACUGGGUGUAAAGGGAGCGUAGGCGGCAGGGCAAGUCAGAUGUGAAAACCCGGGGCUCAACCCCGGCAGUGCAUUUGAAACUGUCAAGCUGGAGGGCAGGAGG